GACGAACGCUGGCGGCGUGCUUAACACAUGCAAGUCGAGCGGUAAGGCCCUUUCGGGGGUACGACGAGCGGCGAACGGGUAGAGUAACACGUGGGUGACCUGCCCUUAGCUCUGGGAUAAGCCUGGGAAACUGGGUCUAAUACCGGAUAUGACUCCAUGACGCAUGUUGUGGGGUGGAAAGCCUUGUGCGGCUAGGGAUGGGCCCGCGGCCUAUCAGCUUGUUGGUGGGGUGAUGGCCACCAAGGCGACGACGGGUAGCCGGCCUGAGAGGGCGACCGGCC
rnacentral:rRNA from 1 species